rnacentral:misc_RNA from 1 species
UGUGGGAGCGAGCCUGCUCGCGAUAACGGUGUGCCAUUCAACAUCGCUGUUCACUGGCUGACGCAUCGCGAGCAGGCUCGCUCCCACA